UACAGAGGAUGCAAGCGUUAAUCGGAAUUACUGGGCGUAAAGCGCGCGUAGGUGGUUUGUUAAGUUGGAUGUGAAAGCCCCGGGCUCAACCUGGGAACUGCAUCCAAAACUGGCAAGCUAGAGUACGGUAGAGGGUGGUGGAAUUUCCUGUGUAGCGGUGAAAUGCGUAGAUAUAGGAAGGAACACCAGUGGCGAAGGCGACCACCUGGACUGAUACUGACACUGAGGUGCGAAAGCGUGGAGAGCAAACAGG
rnacentral:rRNA from 1 species